GACGGAAGGUGCAAGCGUUGCUCGGAAUCACUGGGCGUAAAGGGUGCGUAGGCGGCCGUGCAAGUCUGGCGUGAAAGCCCCGGGCUCAGCCCGGGAAGUGCGCUCGAAACUGCGCGGCUCGAGUGCCGGAGGGGAGAGUGGAAUUCCUGGUGUAGCGGUGAAAUGCGUAGAUAUCAGGAGGAAUACCGGUGGCGAAGGCAGCCUCCUGGGCCAGCACUGACGCUCAUGCACGAAAGCGUGGGGAGCAAACAGG
rnacentral:rRNA from 1 species